rnacentral:rRNA from 1 species
UAAUACGGAGGGUGCAAGCGUUAAUCGGAAUUACUGGGCGUAAAGCGUGCGUAGGUGGUUUGUUAAGUUAGAUGUGAAAGCCCUGGGCUCAACCUAGGAACUGCAUUUAAAACUGGCAAACUAGAGUAUAGGAGAGGAAAGUGGAAUUUCAGGUGUAGCGGUGAAAUGCGUAGAUAUCUGAAGGAACAUCAAUGGCGAAGGCAGCUUUCUGGACUAAUACUGACACUGAGGUACGAAAGCGUGGGUAGCAAACAGGAUUAGAUACCCUGGUAGUCCACGCCGUAAACGAUGACAACUAGCCGUUGGGAGGAUUUACCUCUUAGUGGCGAAGCUAACGCGUUAAGUUGUCCGCCUGGGGAGUACGGCCGCAAGGUUAAAACUCAAAGGAAUUGACGGGGACCCGCACAAGCGGUGGAGCAUGUGGUUUAAUUCGAUGCAACGCGAAGAACCUUACCUGGUCUUGACAUCCUCGGACCGCUUCAGAGAUGAAGUUUCCUCUUCGGAGGCCGAGUGACAGGUGCUGCAUGGCUGUCGUCAGCUCGUGUCGUGAGAUGUUGGGUUAAGUCCCGUAACGAGCGCAACCCUUAUCCUUAUUUGCCAGCACAUCAUGGUGGGAACUAUAAGGAGACUGCCGGUGAUAAACCGGAGGAAGGCGGGGACGACGUCAAGUCAUCAUGGCCCUUACGACCAGGGCUACACACGUGCUACAAUGGGAAGGACAAAGGGUUGCUAAGCCGCGAGGUGGUGCUAAUCUCAUAAACCUUUUCGUAGUCCGGAUCGGAGUCUGCAACUCGACUCCGUGAAGUCGGAAUCGCUAGUAAUCGUAGAUCAGAACGCUACGGUGAAUACGUUCCCGGGUCUUGUACACACCGCCCGUCAUACCAUGGGAGUGGGUUGCACCAGAAGUAGCUAGUCUAACUGUUUACAGGGGACGGUUACCACGGUGUGAUUCAUGACUGGGGUAAAGUCGUAACAAGGUAACCCUAGCGGAAGCUGGGGUUG